rnacentral:rRNA from 1 species
CGAACGGGUGAGUAACACGUGGGCAACCUGCCCAAAGAGGGGGAUAACACUUGGAAACAGGUGCUAAUACCGCAUAACCAUAGUUACCGCAUGGUAACUAUGUAAAAGGUGGCUAUGCUACCGCUUUUGGAUGGGCCCGCGACGCAUUAGCUAGUUGGUGGGGUAAAGGCUUACCAAGGCAAUGAUGCGUAGCCGAACUGAGAGGUUGAUCGGCCACAUUGGGACUGAGACACGGCCCAAACUCCUACGGAAGGCAGCAG